rnacentral:misc_RNA from 1 species
AAAGGCUUAGUUGAGUUGAGUUUGAUAAAUAUCCAUUGAGAUAUUAUAGGCCAUAGUUACUUGGAAUAUGGUACCCUUAGGUAUGUGGUACGGUUACAGGAAUGUGGUACGUUACCUAAUUAAAUAUAAGAUACGUAGGGGGUAGGCUUAAUUGAUAUGCCAAUUUAGAUCCCUAUACACAAAUUAUAUUUAUCUGGAACUCAAAUUUAUUUUUGUGGCACUAUUCUUUUUUUAUAUAUAUUUUAUUUAACAUAAUAUAUUUAUAGAAAUAAAAAUAUUAACUUAAUUUUAGUAAUUAAUUAAUAUGAUAAUUUUUUUGAAAUAACGAACACAUUAUUCAAAAUUUG